ACCGAAUAGAUACCCCGGUAGUCCACGCCCUAAACCGAUGCGAACUGGAUGUGGUACAUUACGGUACUCAGUGUCGAAAGCUAAACGCGUUAAGUUCGCCGCCUGGGGAGUACGGUCGCAAGACUGAAACUCAAAGGAAAUUGACGGGGGCCCGGCACAAGCGGUGGAGUAUGUGGUUUAAUUCGAUGCAACGCGAAGAACCUUACCUGGCCUUGACAUCUGUCGAAUCCUGCAGAGAUGCGGGAGUGCCGCAAGGAACGACAAGACAGGUGCUGCAUGGCUGUCGUCAGCUCGUGUCGUGAGAUGUUGGGUUAAGUCCCGCAACGAGCGCAACCCUUGUCCCUAGUUGCCAGCACGUAAUGGUGGGAACUCUAGGGAGACUGCCGGUGACAAACCGGAGGAAGGUGGGGAUGACGUCAAGUCCUCAU
rnacentral:rRNA from 1 species